rnacentral:rRNA from 1 species
UACGUAGGGUGCGAGCGUUGUCCGGAAUUAUUGGGCGUAAAGGGCUUGUAGGCGGUCUGUUGCGUCGGGAGUGAAAACUCAGGGCUUAACCCUGAGCCUGCUUCCGAUACGGGCAGACUAGAGGUAUGCAGGGGAGAACGGAAUUCCUGGUGUAGCGGUGAAAUGCGCAGAUAUCAGGAGGAACACCGGUGGCGAAGGCGGUUCUCUGGGCAUUACCUGACGCUGAGGAGCGAAAGUGUGGGGAGCGAACAGG